ncrna:unclassified sequences Transposase-1 RNA
CAGGAGUUGGUCAAUGCGAUUACUCCCCAGAUGGAAUAUCGCAAUACCAAUGAUGA